rnacentral:lncRNA from 1 species
GGUGGACUGUAGUCAGUUUCACCCAAUGCCCCAUUGAUGGACACCCAGCUCUUGUCCACGGCUGUGCUACUUCAAAUAAUGCUGCACAACAGACAUUCUUGUGCCUACGUCUUCGUACCUUUAUCUUAACAUAUCUCAAAAGGAAGUUCCAGGUAUGGAACUGCUGGAACUGUGGUUGGAUGGGUUUAAAAUUUGCUGGAUUCAAUAAAUGAUGCUGAAGGAGUGUCUCUCCCCACAGAGGCCCACGUGAGAAGUAGCCACAACUUGUUUGCCCUCUAAGGAGCCAGAGGAAGUCUUGUCCGGGACUGAGGGCUUGGCCAGAGCCAGUCCCUGCGAACUGCCCGGCGCGUCCUGCCUUGCCAGACCCUCUGCCCGGGGUCAUCCGCAGCCCGCGGGCGCCAUCGGCUCCAGGCACACAUCACCCGUGCUGGAACCCCAGCGUGUGGAGACCGGAGGCCAAAGAAACGAAACUCCCCACGCUGCGCCGUGGAGAAUAAUCACUGCCUUUUCAGAGGCCGACUUCGCCCCCUGCCAAGACAGGGAGCUUGGGAGAUGUCUGCGCAAGGAUCACAAGGUCCCCCCGAAUACUCAAAAUAGACUUUGCAGAGAAGAUCCUUCCAACCUACUGUCUAGAGGGCAGAGGCAAGGCUGCAAGCAUUCCGGAAGUCCAACAGGGGAGGGAGAGUGGAGGAAGGAGGCGUCUCAACAUCUGGUACCAUAUUUCCAUCAGAUGUGUUUCUCAAGCACUCUGCCACUCCUUUCUACCUCUCCUGCGUUUGAUCUGAGGACGGCCCGUUCCACAGGAACACAAAGGCACAGAAGAUGAAGUAACUUGCCCACGGCCACACGGUUGGAGCCCAUGGCCCUCCCCAGAUGCAGAUGCCCAACUGUGAACUUCUCCAGACAUCAGAAUCAUGAGCCGAAGAAAGCUUUUUUCUUGACACCAUGAAGGCUGAACAAAGGAUAUCUGGGGGCAAAAUCUGACCCAUGGGCUGCCCAUUGCCACCUCUGGGCAGCCCUCCUUGAUGGUGUGGAGUCCGCGGUCCGCAUUGGUUAACUUAACUGUGCUUCCUCAGAUCCAGUCUGGAAUUAAUUAUUGAAUUGUAUGCAUUUUCAAUGCCAUCCUCAAGCUAACAGCCAACUAUGCGGGGGAAUAAAACGGAGCAGAGAACCGAGUUGGGUUCCAGAGACCCCAGAUUGUCUUCAUUUGCAGUUGCCAGGUUCCCUGCAGCCCGGGUCUGUGGAUUUCCCGCGGCUCAGCGCCCGCAGCUCAGGCUCCGUGGAGCCCGGCGGCAUGGACGAGGCGUCGCGCGCGCCCUCUAGUGGAGAAAAAGGGUCACUGCCGAACGCCAGCUGCGGACCGUCGAGAGUUCCUUGGGCCAUGGCUCCUGCCGGGAGCAGCAGCCCUGGGGCCGGGAUCCAGGAUGCAGAGGCGAGAAAAUGAACUGCCCGGCCACCACGAAGACAACCCACCCCUUGCCAGUCACCCCUCAAACUACUGACAAUGUCAACAACAAUAAUUAUAACAAUCAUAUUAAUAAGUAGAAUGACAAAUAUAAUAAUAUUUAACAGUUUGUGAUUUUCAGCCCACAAGGUUUCGCCUACUGUGUAGAUUACUCGGGACUCUGCAGGCCAGUAGGCCAUGUAUAGAUGGACAGAAAGAGGUUUGUUAUCAGAAAUGGGCUCACAUGACUGAGGAUACUGUGAAGUCCCACGACCUGCUGUUUGCAAGUAGGGGAUCAGGGAAGCCAGUGGAGUAGGUCAGUCCAAGCCCAAAGGCCGAGAACCAGAGGAGCCGACGGCCCAGCUCAAGCAGAAAGAGUGGCACUCACCCUUCCUCUGCCUUUUGUUCUCUUCAGGCCCUCAGCAGAUUGCAGGACGCCCCGACACAAGGAAGGGCGAUCUUGACUCAGUCAGUCCACGGAUGCACGCUAACCCCUUCCAGAAACACCCUCACAGACACACCUAGAAAUAAUGUGGGGUUUUUGGUGUUUUACUUUUAAUUGCAUUUAUUUUAAUGCCGGAUGUAUUUCCGCGUUGCCAGCUCCUGAGCAUCUCUGAGCCCAAUCAAGUUGACACAUACAAUUAACCAUCACGCUGUGUCAGUUCAAUCAUUAAAAAUACGCAACACUCAGCCGGGCGCGGUGACUCACGACUGUAAUCCCAGCACUUUGGGAGGCUGAGGUGGGUGGAUCACAAGGUCAGGAGUUCGAGACCAGCCUGGCCAACUGGUGAAACGCCGUCUCUAAUAAAAAUACAAAAAAUUAGCUGGUCGUGGUGGCAGGCACCUGUAAUCCCAGCUGCUCAGGAGGCUGAGGCAGGAGAAUCGCUUGAACCCGAGAGGCAGAGGUUGCAGUGAGCCGAGAUCACGCCAUUUCAGUCCAGCUGGGAGACAGAGCAAGACUCCGUCUUGAGAACAAACAAACAAACAGACAGACAGACAAAAAAACACGCAACACUCUAUUAACGCAUGAAUGUAUUCUCACCGAACAAGAUUCAAACAGUAUGAAUGAACAUAUUGCAAAUGUUUUUAAGUGUUUUUGAAAACUUUCAUUUUGAAACAAUUUCAAACUUAGUUGAAAAGUUGCAAGGAUGGCACAAAAACCUUCUAUUAAUACAUAGCUUUUAGCAGGAUUCCUCAGUUGUUAACAAUUUGCCACAUUUGCUUUAUAAUUUUUGCUCUGUCUCUACAUACUUUUAAGAUCUGAGCCAUUUGAAAUAUAAUGCCCCCUUAUAAUAGUUCCGUGGGUCUUUCCUAAAAACAAGUCAUUAUCUUCCAUAAUCCAGUACAGUUGUUCAAAUCAAGAAAAUUAACAUGGAUGCAAUAGUAUUAUCUCAUCUGCAGACCUUCUUCAAAUUUCACCAAUUGUCUCAAUAAUACCAUCCUUUUUAGCAUUUUUUUGGCUGAUUCCCACUACAAACUAUGAAAGCACAAAUGUCUCUCCUCUGCCUUGCCCAGAGGUUCCUCUUUCAAUCAUAGGGGAGGUGCCGAUAGGGUCUGUCUUUCAUUUUUCUCAAUGGAAGCACAUUCCCCACUUCUCAAUUUGCCUUGGGAGCUCUUAUUUCAAUCUCUUCUCAAUCCUUCGAAGCAGGACUCCUCCCUAGCCAUAUUCUACACAGAAGGAAACAGAAACUCAGCGUGAGGACGGCUCCUGCCCUGCGACCUCAGGUCCCCCAGCUGCCUUGCUAAGAGUUGAACCGUGCCCCCAGCCCCUACCCUGAUACAUUUCAGCAAAUUGAUAUGCAAGGCCCCUUUCCAGGCCCUGGGAACAUGAAGAGGAAGUUGCUGAUGGCUGUGCUCAAAGACUUCCCAGGCUAGUGCAAGGGACAGGAGAGGGCGGCCCUGCUGGAAGCUCAGUGAGGAGCCCUGCGGUGGGGAGUGGUUGAAGCCGUUAAGUCCUCUGGUGACCUAUGGGUGUGGAGGCUGGACCAGAGGGCCUUAAGGGGUAGCCCUGCAGGUCCCAACCCCAUUCUUGGUGGAAGUGUUGGCUGAGGUCUCUGGAGUUGAGUGGGGUGGCAGAACUGGGCACUCUCAUGACAGGAGAGGGGGGAUGGGCAGGAGAGGUGUUCAGAAAAGGAGUGCAGGGAGGGCGGAAGAGCCGCUGUGUGAGUUUCCCCCAGCCCCUUGAGCAGCUGUGGGCCUCCUGCCCAGUCCCCAUGCUGGGACCGAGAGGGCAAAGCGUGCAGAGAAGGCUGCACACCCUGCAGCCUCAGCCAGCGCGUGAUAGGGGAGCUCUGGGCAGGGACAAAGCUGCAGUCCCUGUCCCUGAAUGUCGGGGCGGGGGGGGGCGGGGAUAGAAAGGAGAAAAUGGGGCAGAGAGAAAAGAAAGCGGUGGCGUGCACAUGCCCAGGCCCUUUGCUCCACUUUCCAUGCUAUAUGAGACACUUCCCAAAAUUCACACUCCCUGGGACCCUGAGGAUGGGGGCUGUAUCAGAGGAAUUAAUUCAGUCACAGGAGGACAGGAGUCCAGCUCUGACUCAGUCCCAGUGGAGCAUCGUAGAAAACCGACAACCAGUGUCCAAGGAGCCCACUUUGGUGUCUGAUGGGUCACCAGGAAGAGUUUAUUAGAUUCCUGAAAAUCAUAAGUAAGCAUCCCUGCUUUGUGGAAUUUCAGUUGGUGAGUGACAAUGCCAAGUAUGCAAUUUGUCCUUCAACUUUUCAUUUAUGCCACACCGCGUGCUGGGCUCUCUGCAGGUGCUGGUGAAACAGACAUGAAAAGGCACAACCCCUGCCUCGGGAUCUGGUGGCAAGAUCAACAGGUAAACUGCAGGUCUGAUACGGAUUGACAGGUGCCACUCAGAGUGAGUACGGGUGGCAGAAACUCAGAGGGGUCCGCCUGCCCAGUCUGGGAUUGGGAAAGGCAUCUGAUUAGUUUCUCAUGGCUGUUGUAACAGAUUACCACUACCUUAGUGGCUUAAAACAACAUAAAUGUAUUCUCUUAUGACACUGAAGGUCGUUAAGUGUGAAAUCAGUUUCCCUGGCUAUAGGUGUCAUCUGAGCUGGUCUUUUCCGGAGGCUCCAGGGGAGAAUCGCUUCCUGGCCCUGUUCAGCUUUGGGAGGCUGCCUGCAUCCUUGCCUGCAGCCCCCUUCUCCUUCUUCAAAAUGCACCCCUGCAACCUCUGCACCCAACAUCACACGGCCUUCCCUGCUGCACUCAAAU